AAGGAAAAAAAAAAUGAGUAUAAAAGCCAUUACGAGAAAUGUAAGUAUGUGUGGUCGGUAAAUGAAAAAAAAAUCUCCACACGUCUCGAGUGGCAUACGGCUUUUUUCAGCUGUCAUCUAGUCAGCUGGUAUUGAGAAGACUUCAAAAAAAAUUAUUCGUAAUAAAAAGUGAAAUGAAAAUUUCGACUUUUACUUAGUGUGUUAAUUAUACAUAAGAAGUUUAUUAAAUUGCUUAAUAUAUUUUUUAAAUUAUUUUAAACGAAAAACCAACAGAAAUUGUUCAGAAAUUGAACGCGAAAAAUAAAGAAAGCAACCGAGCACAUAAAUCUAAUUGGUCCAAAGAGUGACUGGGAGGCUGUGUAAUUUCUUAACCGGCUAAAUUAACCCAUUUCGACCGGCCUUUGAUUUACUCACUGAUUAGUGUUUUUGGUUGCAAUUGUGAAGGGCGAAUGUGAAUUUAGAAUUGCUGGCAUUACUUUUAUGUCGUACAAGUUAUAUUUUUAUUUUUUUUUUUUUUGGUAAUUGCUUCAUAUAUAAAUUU